rnacentral:rRNA from 2 species
UGUCGAAUCCUGCAAAGCAAACGACCGGUGAACUGUGUUUCUAACUGUGGCCGUCGGGUGCCUUCGGGCUCCCGUCGUCCCCCUCGGCCGGCCGAUGCCUUCGGGCUCCCGGUCGUGCCGAACGAACCAACCCCGGCGCGGAAAGCGCCAAGGACUACUAAAACGGACUGCCUUCCCUCGGCCGGCCCGUUCGCGGUGCUGGUCGUGGGAUCUAAGGCGCCUGUCGAAUCCACAACGACUCUCGGCAACGGAUAUCUAGGCUCUCGCAUCGAUGAAGAACGUAGCAAACUGCGAUACUUGGUGUGAAUUGCAGAAUCCCGUGAACCAUCGAGUUUUUGAACGUAAGUUGCGCCCAAAGCCAUUAGGCCGAGGGCACGUCUGCCUGGGCGUCACGCAUCGCGUCGCCCUCCCCACCCCUCGGCCUUAAGCGGACGAGGCCGGUGCGGGAGAGCGGAGACUGGCCUCCCAUGCUAGGCGCGCGGUUGGCCUAAACCUUGGUGCCCCGUCGCGGACUGCACGACAAGUGGUGGUUGAAUCCCUCAACUCGAAUGCGAGUCGUGCAUGAACCCGCGGCCGAGGAAGCCUAACGACCCCCCUGCAAGCCCCUUCCCGAAGGAGCGCUUGCCACGACUGCGACCCCAGGUCA